UUCACCAGUGUGCCUCCUAACCUCAAUAUGAUCUCUGAGACACAAUCUAGAAGAGAGAUGGCUCACUGUGGAGUAAUUUUCUGUGUCAUGUGGGUGCUCCAUCCCCUUUAGUAGCGUAGUGGCCAUCUGAGUUUGUUCAUUCCAAUGGGAGAGAUGAAUGCACCAGGACUGUGGGUUGAAGCCUAGGCGGCAGUUAUCCUUUUGGCCCUUCCUGCCCAUCUGACCUUCACACAGUCCCACUUUCCAGCGGCCCUCAUCUGAAGACACCUCCACCUCCCAGUACCAGCGGCCCCCCUCCAAGGCACGGGAGGCCAGGACCUGUGGGAAGGAGGUGAAUCGAGCCACAUGCUCUGGAUAUUUCAGCCGUGCCUGGUCCACCUCCUCUGGAGCCUCCAGCUCCUCCUCAGAGCUCCCCAGGUUACUGACCCUGAAAGCAAGGAGCAGAACAGGGAAUGUUGGCUGCCCAUGCCUGUCUGGUUCCAUUACAGCCUACAGGACGUGGACAUACUAAUCCCAUUCCCCACCGGGACACACUAAGGAUACACAGCAGGACCGAGGCUUUUCUACAGCAUCUCACUGAGUAGCCCUCUGAUAGUGAUGCAGAAUUAUGCAUGGACAGCAG